CCACCGGCGGCAAGGCCCCGCGCAAGC
rnacentral:piRNA from 1 species